AUUUAGUUGAAUAGACAGAUUAAUCCUCAAAUUUGAAAAAUAAGAAAAAAAAUAUAAAAAAGAAAAAAAAAGUAGUAGAUACCAACUAAAGAAAGAGUUGACUUAAGACCAAAGUUGCUACCCAAGUCAACGUACAUCACUGGUCAACCGACUUAGCUAAGAUCAUCAUGGAAGGUGUUGAGCUCAACAAAGUACAAAAGCAUUAUUGACCCCAAAAAUUCAAAGAUCAGAUAAUCGGAUAUGAAAAUUUUUACGUUCACCAACCAUCAAGAGAUGUGUCAGCUUACCUAACUCAUCAGCUUCUCCACCUAUAUAACCACUUAUCCAUUCCAUCCCAACUAAGAGACUAACUCGUGUUACUCUUCCAAACUUCUAGCUCAUCUACAAAACUAACUUGAUCGGUCGUGGUGGAACCAAUCACAACCCUACCACCAAUAGUUCAGCUCACCAAGCUCUUGUUUAGCAGAUUUUCCAAUAGUUGCUAGUUCAGCGCCUUGACCAGAAAAAACACGAGUUUCGAUCUCAGCAUAUUGGUACCAUAUACGGGGAAUGGCAUAGUUUUCCAAAAAUACCAUGGUACUAUACUAGUAGUAGUACAGUGUUGCUCAUUCUGUAAAGCAAUCUCCUGGUUUAAAGGCUCUGCUGAUGUUUCAACAUUCACUGUAUAUCUCAAUGUUAUUCCUUGUAACAAACUUCACUAAUUCUGCUGGUAAACCAGAUCCAUUUCAGGAUAUGCUACAAACUGUCUGCAAAUUUACCAGUAUUGGAUGAGUUAACGAAGAUUAUAGACAGAACAUGCAACAAAUAUACCAUGUAUGUGAUGUUACACUAGAAUAAUGCUUCUUCUUUCCCCCCUUUUUCUCUGUGUUUUCUGGUUUCAUGGUACAAAUACUGCUUGUUAAGACAUUCUUGAAUCAAAAAUCAAUAAUGAAUAGCCAAAUGUCACGACCAGCAUGGGAUAUGAUUGAUGUGUUCUGCUAAAAACAAAAGAACAAAAAUAGAACUCGGGCAGCAGCACUAUCUCCAAUCUGAACAAAACAAAGUGAAAUUGAUAAUAGGAUUUAUGAAUUGUUCUUCACUAUUUAUUCAGAUUAAUAAUAUACUACUUGAUGAAUAUGUCGUUGAUCAAUGUUUAAUGAGCCGCCAUGCCUCGUAUGAUGAUCAUGAUUGUGAAACGAGAAGGUUCGUUUCUUCCUCCUCGAAUCUUUCUAGCCAUCUAAAUCUCAGAUCACAUCCAGAUUUGUCAGCUAUCUCGAAUUGUUCUCUUGCCAUUCAACUGGAUUAAGUUCGAGGCUUCCAGCAUUCUUCCUUGAUUUUCUGUUGGAGGAUCCUCUUUUUGCAUUGAAUUUGGUUAGUAAUUGAGGAACUGGAACACCUAAAACAUUUGUUACAAAUUACCAAUUCAUAAACGUGGAAAAAAAAAUUAUGAAAGAUUAACAAGGACCCCUUGGGGGAAAUCGGAAGUAACAAGCUUCAAGGAGAAUGAACUGCCACACCAUGAAAGAACUAGUAGGUAGCUGUCCUCAAUGCAUUAAGGACAUGUUUUUUACAUAGUACUGGAUAGGAUUAGACAUUACGAUAAACAAAAUUUUUAGCUUUCUUUUUCUUCUUCAAUACUAGCGAAAGUCCAGUAGCCGAAAACAUCUCUAACUUACGUUUUUACUUGAGUGAAAUGAUUUCAUAAAAAUUCUCGUAGAAUCGAGAAUAAAG
rnacentral:lncRNA from 1 species